UACGUAGGGGGCAAGCGUUGUCCGGAUUUAUUGGGCGUAAAGAGCGUGUAGGCGGCCCGAUAAGUCCGCUGUGAAAGCCCGGGGCUCAACUCCGGAAUUGCCUUUAAGACUGCAUCGCUAGAAUUGUGGAGAGGUAAGUGGAAUUCCGAGUGUAGAGGUGAAAUUCGUAGAUAUUCGGAAGAACACCAGUGGCGAAGGCGACUUACUGGACACAUAUUGACGCUGAGGUGCGAAAGCGUGGGGAGCAAACAGG
rnacentral:rRNA from 1 species